UGGGGAAUAUUGGACAAUGGGCGCAAGCCUGAUCCAGCCAUGCCGCGUGAGUGAUGAAGGCCCUAGGGUUGUAAAGCUCUUUCACCGGUGAAGAUAAUGACGGUAACCGGAGAAGAAGCCCCGGCUAACUUCGUGCUAGCAGCCGCGGUAAUACGAAGGGGGCUAGCGUUGUUCGGAUUUACUGGGCGUAAAGCGCACGUAGGCGGACUUUUAAGUCAGGGGUGAAAUCCCGGGGCUCAACCCCGGAACUGCCUUUGAUACUGGAAGUCUUGAGUAUGGUAGAGGUGAGUGGAAUUCCGAGUGUAGAGGUGAAAUUCGUAGAUAUUCGGAGGAACACCAGUGGCGAAGGCGGCUCACUGGACCAUUACUGACGCUGAGGUGCGAAAGCGUGGGGAGCAAACAGG
rnacentral:rRNA from 1 species